UAGAAUUGGUUGCUUGCAACCUUCACUAUAACAUACUGUUCACGUUCCUGUUGCUUCCCUAGCGUUAGGAGGCUUUCCCCUUGCGGGACUGUUUCUGCUAGGGAACUUUGUCAAACAUAUUGUGUAUUUAUUCUGAAUCUACCAUGAAAAUGGAUAUUA
rnacentral:misc_RNA from 1 species